UAUUGUGUCCAGUGCCGCGAAAAUUUUUUUGCCGUACCAUAGAAAAUAAAUACCACAUGAACCUCUUUAGAUCUGAAACCAGUUCAACCGAACUCAAAUUUUCUCGUACAAAAUCUCAAUAUCUGUCUUUGUUUUGCUUUGAAUUCCAAUUUUCACUCCUUUUUCUUUCCUUUUAAUUUCAGUUAUACCCUUAAUCCGUGAAAUAUUAGGGUUUCAGUUCUCCUGUCCGAGCUCGAUUUUAUAGCUCCUUCUUUUUCUUUUGAAUUGAGUUGUAUUUGCUCAAGAGAUAAGUUGUUCGGUUGCAUUAUUGCAUCUAGGGUUAUCUCUUGUUUUGUCUGUGAGAUGGGGUUUUCUAAAUAGGUUUCCAAGUUUUUAGGGUUUUACAAAAUUCAAUUUCAACACGAAUGGGUGCUUUAACGGUCAAUCGUAAACGUGGCGACGAGUACUUAUCAUUGAAUCAUCUUCAAAGUCCAUACCAGAACUCUCAUAUUUCAAAGCGGCCCAGGUUUUCUUUCAUGCAGCAUACCCCAAACCAAGAUUUUGUUUCAUCUAAUUACACGGUUUCGAGAGUCUCCAGGUACCCAGAAGCCAAACCCCCUCUGAAAAGACAAGUUCAUGCCCCAUAUAGAAUUCUCAAAUUUGGAUUCUGCGACAAGCUAAAACAGGAUUCGUGCACUUCUCGAUAUUGUAAAAAUAAAGAUGUGAUUGAAGUUGAUAAUGAACAUGAUGAUAAGAAUGAAAUAGUUUCUAAUGAUUCAAGUUUUGAAGGAGUUGAGGUUAUCGAGAAUGAGAAAUAUGAGGUUCCUAUUAAGGAAAUUAGCGGGAAAGAUGUGGAGCAGAGACAUCAUAAUAAUUUCCAGCCAUCAUCGUCUUCGGUGGUUUCUACGGAUUUGAAUAAUGGUGGUGUGGAUGGUGAUAUCUUGAGGAUGGAGAGUGCGGAGAAGAUAUUGGAUUCAUUGUCUUUAUAUCAAGGGGUGAUUGGUUUGCAGGAUGUUCAGGUGUAUAAGAAGUUGUUGGAGAGUGCACAGAGGAGGGGCUCUAAGUUGAAGUCAAUAGGGUUUGAGAUUGAGUUGUAUGAGAAGCGCCGCGAUUCUCUCAGGCAGUUGCAGCCCGUGAAGCAACCAGAGGAAAAACUGGUAGAGGAAUUACCUUGCGAACCCUUUGUCCCUCUGACAGAGAAGGAAGAAGCUGAGGUUGAUGGUGCAUUUGCUUCUAAUAGGAGGAGCAAGGUCUUAGUCAGUGAUUCAGGGACAGAUAUUGACAUUACUGGACAUAUACUGCAGUGCCUUAGACCAGGUGCAUGGUUGAAUGAUGAGGUCAUAAAUGUGUAUCUGGGGUUGCUGAAAGACAGGGAAAGGAGGGAUCCACAGAAGUUUCUGAAAUGCCAUUUCUUCAACACAUUUUUUUACAAGAAGUUAGUGAGCGGCAACAAGGGCUAUGAUUUUAAAGCUGUGAAAAGAUGGACAUCCAUCAAGAAGUUGGGAUACACUCUUCUUGAGUGUGACAAAAUAUUUGUCCCUAUCCACCAGGAGAUACAUUGGUGCUUGGCUGUUAUUAAUAAGAAGGAUAAGAAAUUUCAGUAUCUUGAUUCACUGAGAGGAAAGGAUAUGAAAGUGCUGAAUGCCCUGGCAUGUUUUAGUAAUCUUACUCUUGUAAUUAUUAGAGUGCAUACUGCUAGAUAUUACGUGGAUGAAGUGAAGGACAAGUGUGGAAAAGACAUAGAUGUAAGUGCGUGGGAGCAAGAAUUUGUUGAGGAGCUUCCGGAACAGGAGAAUGGGUUUGACUGUGGUAUGUUUAUGCUCAAAUAUGUUGACUUUUAUAGCAGAGGUCUAGGGCUUUGUUUUGGCCAGAGUCACAUGCCCUAUUUUCGUGUGAGGACAGCAAAAGAGAUCCUGAGAUUGAGAGCUGAGUGAUGGAAUGUGUGAAUCUGCUAUUUGUAACAUACUGCAGCACCCUAUUAUAAUUAUUUGACCAUUUAGCAGAUUGCAGAUCUUCGCACAGGGAGAUAGUUGUGGAUUCUGCUGAUUUAAGAGCGUGAGGUGGGAUGCCAUAGAAUUCUCCCUUAAUGAAGUAGCAGAUGUUCUGAGUUAGGAAUCGUUCGCCUUUUUUGUGGAGGUGGUGUUUUAAGUGAUGGCUACACUAAAAGUUUUGGCUUUUAGAUUGGUUGAGAUUAUCCUGUAUCAUGGGCCCUCUUCUUCAAUGGUUGAUGACGCUGCGCCGAAGAGGAAUGAAAGGGUUGAUUCCUCCACCCUCUCCCUCUUCAGAUUUACACAUAAAGACAUUGACUCAAUUCUUGGGUUUGUUGUCAGCUCAGUUUCUUGGUUUUUUUGUUGACAAUGUCGGUUUUUUGUAGUCAACAAGAUCGAGCCAUUGUUCUUUGGUUUUUUUUAUCAAUUGGAGAUGAAGGGAGGGAGAAGUUGCUAGAGUUUGUUAUGAAAAUGUUGGAAGACAAGGGUGCAGGGGUAAUGUUUCUAAACUUUGGGGAGACAAGUAAAAAAAAUCAGCUUUCUAAAUGGCAUACCAUCAAAUUUUGGUUUUC